UUUAUGAAGAGUUUGAUCCUGGCUCAGGAUGAACGCUAGCGGUGCGCCUAACACAUGCAAGUCGAGCGCCCCCACUUUGUCUUCGAAUCAUCGAAGAUAGGGUGGGGGAGCGGCGAACGGGUGAGUAACACGUUGGAACCUGCCCCAGACUCAGGGAUAGCCAUCCGAAAGGGUGAUUAAUACCGGAUAGUCUCGUAAGAGUAAAGCUUUUGCGGUUUGGGAGGGGCCUGCGGCCUAUCAGCUAGUUGGUAGUGUAAUAGACUACCAAGGCUAUGACGGGUAUCUGGUGUGAGAGCAUGACCAGACACAAUGGAACUGAGACACGGUCCAUACUCCUACGGGAGGCAGCAGUGAGGAAUCUUCCGCAAUGGGCGAAAGCCUGACGGAGCGACACCGCGUGGAGGACGAAGGCCUUUUGGUUGUAAACUCCUUUUCUGGGGGAAUAAAUGAUGAAGGUACCCCAGGAAUAAGCACCGGCUAACUACGUGCCAGCAGCCGCGGUAAUACGUAGGGUGCAAGCGUUAUCCGGAAUUAUUGGGCGUAAAGGGUUCGUAGGUGGUUUAGAAAGUUUGUAGUUAAAUCCGGUCGCUCAACGAUCGAUUCGCUACAAAAACUCCUAAACUAGAGAGUGGCAGAGGCAACUGGAAUUCCACAUGUAGGGGUAAAAUCCGUUGAUAUGUGGAGGAACACCAAAAGCGAAGGCAGGUUGCUGGGCCAUUUCUGACGCUGAGGAACGAAAGCGUGGGGAGCAAACAGGAUUAGAUACCCUGGUAGUCCACGCCGUAAACGAUGGAUACUCGAUGUAGGGAGGAAUCGACCCCUUCCUGUGUCUAAGCUAACGCGUUAAGUAUCCCGCCUGGGGAGUACGGUCGCAAGAUUAAAACUCAAAGGAAUAGACGGGGACCCACACAAGCGGUGGAGCAUGUGGUUUAAUUCGACGAUAAACGGGGAACCUUACCAAGGCUUGACAUCUCCGGAAUCCCGAGGAAACUUGGGCGUGCCGUAAGGAACCGGAUGACAGGUGCUGCAUGGUCGUCGUCAGCUCGUGCCUUGAGGUGUUCGGUUAAGUCCGUAAACGAGCGCAACCCAUGUCUUAUGUUGUAUAUUUCAUAAGAGACUGCCGGCUCCAAGUCGGAGGAAGGUAUGGAUGACGUCAGAUCAGCAUGGCCCUUAUGCCUUGGGCCACACACGUGCUACAAUGGCCGGUACAAUGAGUAGCCAACCCGCAAGGGGGAGCCAAUCUCAUCAAAGCCGGUCCAAGUUCGGAUUGGGGGCUGAAAUUCGACCCCAUGAAGUUGGAAUCGCUAGUAACCGCAAAUCAGACAUGUUGCGGUGAAUAUGUUCCUGGGUCUUGUACUCACCGCCCGUCACAUCAUGAAAGAUGGGGGUGCCCGAAGUCGCGCUACUCCGCAAGGGGGCGUGCCUAAGGUAAAACCAUUGAUUGGGAUGAAGUCGUAACAAGGUAUCCGUAGGAGAACCUGCGGAUGGAUCACCUCCUUU
rnacentral:rRNA from 1 species